AACGAACAUCAAGAGUUGGGGCGACGCCCAACGCCAACCUGCCGUUCCGGGCAAGGUGGCACUCCCCCCAGGGGAGGAUGUGGCCGGGCCGGCAACCAAACGGAACAAG
rnacentral:ncRNA from 2 species